rnacentral:rRNA from 1 species
CCUACGGGUGGCAGCAGUGGGGGAUAUUGCACAAUGGGGGGAACCCUGAUGCAGCGACGCCGCGUGUGUGAAGAAGCCCCUCGGCGCGUAAAGCCCUGUCAGCAGGGAAGAAAAUGACGGUACCUGAAGAAGAAGCCCCGGCUAACUACGUGCCAGCAGCCGCGGUAAUACGUAGGGGGCAAGCGUUAUCCGGCUUUACUGGGUGUAAAGGGGGCGCAGACGGCGAUGCAAGUCAGGAGUGAAAGGCCGGGGCUCAACCCCGGGACUGCAUUUGGAACUGUGCUGCUAGAGUGUCGGAGAGGCAGGCGGAAUUCCUAGUGUAGCGGUGAAAUGCGUAGAUAUUAGGAGGAACACCAGUGGCGAAGGCGGCCUGCUGGACGAUGACUGACGUUGAGGCUCGAAAGCGUGGGGAGCAAACAGGAUUAGAUACCCGAGUAGUC